ACCUCUUCCCAUUCCGAACAGAGAAGUUAAGCCCGCCAGAGCCGAUGGUAUUGCCGUAACAGGUGGGAGAGUAGGUCGGUGCCUAAU
rnacentral:rRNA from 1 species